UACAGAGGUCUCAAGCGUUGUUCGGAUUCAUUGGGCGUAAAGGGUGCGUAGGUGGUCUGGUAAGUCGGAUGUGAAAUCCCGGAGCUUAACUUCGGAACUGCAUUCGAUACUGCCGGACUGGAGUACUGGAGAGGAGAUCGGAAUUUACGGUGUAGCAGUGAAAUGCGUAGAUAUCGUAAGGAAGACCAGUGGCGAAGGCGGAUCUCUGGACAGUUACUGACACUGAGGCACGAAGGCCAGGGGAGCAAACGGG
rnacentral:rRNA from 1 species